AUUUCCUGUCGAAGCGGAAGAAAGGACGAGAACAGUCGAAAUAAGUCAUAGAGGCGCGGAAGAAAGCGUCUCGGGAUUCGAUGCAGACGAAAGACGAGGCGGGUAUGUCAGCCGCGGAGGAGGGUAGCAAAGGAAACCGCUUUCAGCUGAAAAAAUGGAACGCCGUCGCGCUAUGGUCCUGGGAUAUUCAAGUGGACACCUGCGCCAUCUGUAGAAAUCACAUCAUGGAUCUGUGCAUCGAAUGCCAGUCAAAUCCGUCGUGCUCGCCGAAGGACUGCACAGUAGCGUGGGGCGCCUGCAAUCAUGCCUUUCAUAUGCACUGCAUAUCUCGAUGGCUAAAGACUCGGAACGUUUGUCCUUUAGACAAUAAAGAGUGGGUUUACCUUCGAUAUGGCGCUUAAUUAAGGCGCUGUGGGUAACGCAGUGCAGCUGACGAGUGUGGCGUGCCUCUUGCAGACGAAGUUAUAUUCAGAGUUUCGCUUUGAUGCUUUUGAUUUUGUUUUUGCUUGUUUGUUGUUGUUGUUGUUGUUGCGUGUGUGUGUGUGUGUGUGUGUGUGUGUGUGUCGUUGUAUUUCUGUAAGGCAUUCCGCUUUGGAAAC
rnacentral:misc_RNA from 1 species